rnacentral:rRNA from 1 species
AACGAACGCUGGCGGCAUGCCUAACACAUGCAAGUCGAACGAUACCUUCGGGUCUAGUGGCGCACGGGUGCGUAACGCGUGGGAACCUGCCCUUAGGUUCGGAAUAACUCCCCGAAAGGGGUGCUAAUACCGGAUAAUGUCUUCGGACCAAAGAUUUAUCGCCUUUGGAUGGGCCCGCGUUGGAUUAGCUAGUUGGUAGGGUAAAAGCCUACCAAGGCGACGAUCCAUAGCUGGUCUGAGAGGAGGAUCAGCCACACUGGGACUGAGACACGGCCCAGACUCCUACGGGAGGCAGCAGUGGGGAAUAUUGGACAAUGGGCGAAAGCCUGAUCCAGCAAUGCCGCGUGAGUGAUGAAGGCCUUAGGGUUGUAAAGCUCUUUUACCCGGGAUGAUAAUGACAGUACCGGGAGAAUAAGCUCCGGCUAACUCCGUG